UUUCAUAACAGGCAGGGAAAAAAAAAAAAAAAAAAGGUUGUUUGCUUCUAAGGUCUCUGGUGUUUAAAGAGCUCAAGACAAAACUGCCGAGCAGAAUAUUCCAGUUUAUCCCGUGGAAUAGGAAGGAAUGGCCCCAGACGUAAUUACAAGAGAAAUUCACAGAGCCCAGUGCAAAGAGUGCAAAAGAGCCCAGAAGUGCCAGGGGCAAAAUGCGAUGGAUUAUUUCCAAUACCACUGACUUCCCAAUCGGCUCCCACCCCUGGACAGAAAUCUUGGCUGCCUCAGGGAUGCAGUUUGCAACCUCUCUGCUCCAACACUUUGACACCGACAGAAGAUGCGGAAGGACAAUCCGUGCCAGAUCUCUGCUCCACGCUGCAUCCAAAUGUGGUAAAACCCUGGAAAGCUCUGACGUAGGAGAGCCCUGCUUGUCCUGGUCUGAUCCUGAAUGACACUGACACCCACUGACUUCUCCCUGGAACAGAUGCUGCUUAGGAAAAACACCCAGAUCUGGAUAAACUAUAGGGGAAAAAAAAUGUUUAUUUCCGAAACACAGCCUUUAAAUACAGGGCACUGGCAUGUGUGGUAGGGAUGGAACACAACAUUGACCAAAUCCCUCAUGUCCUGGCUUUAAUACCCUACUGGAUAUGGAGAAAGGGAAAGAAUAAAGACUUCCCAGGCAGGAAUAAAGCUCAAAUCUCAGCUUCUCAAACUCCAUAAAGGAGCAAGGAGGCAUGGUGCAUGGCAGAGAGAACUUCCCUGGUAAUAUCCACAUGUCCCUGCCCUUUCCACCCAGCAGUUGCCCCAGGAAAUGGCUGAUGGCUGGGUUGUGUUAUGGCAGAAAAUAGGGAUUUUUCAGCUGGACAAUGAGCUGUGGCCACGGGGCAUCUGCAUCCCAACGCCUUUCCCUGCCCUUUACCUCAGCUGGCCUUUGCAAUAGGCUGCAGUGAAAUCAUGUUCCCAAUGGCAGGAACUCAAAAUAACUCAUGGUGUGCCCCAAACUGUGAGCAAAGAGGAUGUGAUCCUGGCCAAACAGAUCUGCUUGCUUCAGAGGGGGCAAUAUCUACACAGUAAUCAACAUCUAAUUCCCUUUUCCAGCCCGAAUAUUCCCUUGUGUGCUCAGCCACAUUUUCUGCUCAUCCAGAAAAUCUGCUGGGUGAACAUGAGGAUGUGAGGAAUGCCUGGAUCCCAGGGGUCAUCCCAGGAGCUACAAGCCCUCACAACCCAGAACCAAGGUUUUUCUCCUGGCUCAUUUCAUUCAUGAUCAUCAAACUUGGACAGGGCGACUGAAAAUUCAGAUUUCUGUGCUUUCCACACUUUCUAAAUUAAACUUUUCUCCCAUGUAAGUGAGCAAAGAAACACCCUUCUUGCCUCACAGAUGGGGAAACAGGAACAAAGAACCAAAUUGCAAUUUAGAACCUCAAAGUGCAAUUUAGAACUCCCAGGAGACACAAGAUCUCUCUCUUGCCAACCACCCCUUUGCUGUCUUCAACAGCUCAGAAUGACCAGCUGGGCAGAAUGAAAUUCCUUCCAUUCUCAGAUACUGCGAUAAAAUUUUAAUAAAUAAUCAAAUUAAA